AUUGAACGCUGGCGGCAUGCCUAACACAUGCAAGUCGAACGAGUGGCGGACGGGUGAGUAAUGUCUGGGAAACUGCCUGAUCGAGGGGGAUCACUACUGGAAACGGUAGCUAAUUCCGCGUACCAUCGGUUGUGGCGAGAUGGGUUUAGCUAGUGGGUGGGGUAAAGGCUCACCUAGGCGACGAUCCCUAGCUGGUCUGAGAGGAUGACCAGCCACACUGUGACUGAGACACGGUCCAGACUCCUACGGGAGGCAGCAGUGGGGAAUAGGGGACAAGGGGCGCAAGCCUGAUGCAGCCAGGCCGCGUGUAUGAAGAAGGCCUUCGGGUUGUAAAGUACUUUCAGCGGGGAGGCGUUACCCGCAGAAGAAGCACCGGCUAACUCCGUGCCAGCAGCCGCGGUAAUAA
rnacentral:rRNA from 1 species